rnacentral:rRNA from 1 species
AUUGAACGCUGGCGGCAGGCCUAACACAUGCAAGUCGAACGAGUGGCGGACGGGUGAGUAAUGUCUGGGAAACUGCCUGAUGGAGGGGGAUAACUACUGGAAACGGUAGCUAAUACCGCAUACCAUCGGAUGUGCCCAGAUGGGAUUAGCUAGUAGGUGGGGUAAAGGCUCACCUAGGCGACGAUCCCUAGCUGGUCUGAGAGGAUGACCAGCCACACUGGAACUGAGCAACGGUCUGGACUCCGACGGGAGGCAGCAGGGGGGAAUAUUGCAAAGUGGGCGCAAGACUGAUGCAGCCAGGCCGCGUGUAUGAAGAAGGCCUUCGGGUUGUAAAGUACUUUCUGCGGGGAGGCGUUACCCGCAGAAGAUGCACCGGCUAACUCCGUGCCAGCAGCCGCGGUAAUAC